UCCUGGUUUCCCAGGCAGUCCCAUCAGAGUGCUUCCUUACGGAAUAGCAACUGACGGCAAGAGUUGCGCUCGUUAAAGGACUUAACCCAACAUCUCACGACACGAGCUGACGACAGCCAUGCAGCACCUGUUCAUAUGUCUAAGUUAUUCACUUAGAAAAUCCUGUUUCUAGGACGGUCAUAUGUAUGUCAAGCCUAGGUAAGGUUCCUCGCGUAGUGUCGAAUUAAACCACAUGUUCCACCGCUUGUGCGGACCCCCGUCAAUUCCUUUGAGUUUUAAUCUUGCGACCGUACUCCCCAGGCGGAUCACUUAACGCGUUAGCUGCGACACUAAUCGCGCAAGCGCGACUAACGUCUAGUGAUCAUCGUUUACGGCGUGGACUAC
rnacentral:misc_RNA from 1 species